rnacentral:rRNA from 1 species
AUGGAUAUUAGAGCUAGCAAAUAUGCUCAUAAGUUGUUUAGUAUUCAACAGAAUGCUUUUAUUAAGGGGAGACACAUAGUAGAUGGAAUCCUAUCACUACAUGAGGUUCUGCAUUAUACUCACUUCAAAAAGCAAGUGGGAGUGGUUCUUAAACUUGAUUUCGAGAAAGCAUAUGACAAAGUCAAUUGGGACUUUUUGCUUGAUUGUCAUAGGAAGCGUGGGUUUAGUUCUAAGUGGUGCGGAUGGGUCUCUCAAAUCCUAAAACAUGGCACGGUUAGUGUCAAGAUCAAUAAUGAGGAGGGACCAUACAUUCAAAGCGCUAAGGGGGUGAGACAGGGGGAUCCUCACUCCCCUUUCUUGUUUAAUACUGCGGCUGAUUGCCUAACCAAAAUGGUACUCGCAGCUCAAAAGAAUGGUCUCAUUAAAGGGUUAGCUGCUGAUCUUAUUGAGAAUGGUGUUGGCAUCCUGCAAUAUGCGGAUGACACGGUGCUUUGUUUUGAACAUGAUGUUGACAAAGCUGUAAAUAUCAAACUCUUGCUUUAUCUCUUCGAACUUAUGUCAAGGCUUAAGAUCAAUUUUGAGAAGAGUGAGAUAUUUAGUAUCGGGGGGGAUAAUGAUACUGAUUUGGUUUAUGCCAACAUGUUUGGUUGUCAAGUGGGCAUACUUCCUAUGAAAUAUCUGGGAGUCCCUGUUACUUAUUCUGCCCUCAAGAACGCGGAUCUAGAUUUCCUUGACGGUAAAAUGAUCAAAAAGCUUGAUGCCUGGGUAGCUUAUGCGGCAUCUUCUGGAGCCAGACUGACUUUGUUAGGGUCCAAUUUGGAUGGAAUUCCCUCUUUCCUUAAGUCAAUGUUCCUCUUCAAUAAAACUUUUAUUGAGAAGUUGGAUAAACAUCGCAAACGUUUCUUUUGGAGGAGAAAAAAAAAUAAGAAACGUGGGUACCAUAUGGUUAAGUGGACGAGGAUUUGUCGAUCGAAAAAAAUUAGGGGGCUAGGGAUUAAAGAUCUUCAUAAACAAAAUAUUGCCCUGCUCGUUAAGUGGUGGUGGAAAUUAGAAACGAGUGAUGGGCUAUGGCAGCGUAUAGUAAGAGCUAGAUACUUCAGGAGCAAAACCGUGGCUAACAUUCGGAGCCGCUUUUUGGACUCCCCCUGCUGGAAAGCGAUUAUGAAGGUCAAGGAUUCAUAUAUGGCGGAUAGAAAAAUUAAGAUCGAAAGUGGAAACCUUGCUAGGGUCUGGUAUGACCCUUGGGUUGAGAAUAUUGCGUUGAAAGACCCCUUUCCUGAUCUAUUUAGUAUAUGUCAGGAACAUGAAUGCACUGUUGCAUCCUGGGCGGCAAGCAAUUAUGAUCUUGGCUUUAGACGUAGACUGGUUGGGGUGUUGGGCGAGCAGUGGGCUUGGAUGGUUAUGGAAGCUAAAACACUGUCGUUGAACGAUUCCCAAGAUAAGAUUCUAUGGGCCUUUGGCAGUAAAGGGAAAUUUACUACUAAAUCCUUAUAUGAAUGGUUGGAAAGGAAUUUAUCAGGUCCUAACUAUAAGAUGGUGUGGAAAGCACCUAUCCCGCUGAAAAUUAAAAUCUUCCUUUGGCAGCUGUUUCAGAAUGCAGUUCUUACUCGUGAUAACAUGCGUAUUAGGAACUGGCCUAGAAAUCCCAUGUGCUCCUUCUGUACUGACGUUGAAACAACAAAUCAUUUGUUCUUUACCUGCUCGCUUGCUCGUUCGGUGUGGGGAGUGUUGGGCAUGACGGCUGGGGCAUCCUGUUGUCCUCGUUCUCUUUGGCAAAGCUUCGCUUGGCUUUAUAAGUUUUUUCCAGGCGGGAAACAUUUCUACAUGAUGAUUAUUGCUGCAAUAUGCUAG